AAACUUGAGCUAAUACCGGAUACGCCCUUAGGGGGAAAGAUUUAUUGCCGAAGGAUUGGCCCGCGUCCGAUUAGCUAGUUGGUGAGGUAAUGGCUCACCAAGGCGACGAUCGGUAGCUGGUCUGAGAGGAUGAUCAGCCACACUGGGACUGAGACACGGCCCAGACUCCUACGGGAGGCAGCAGUGGGGAAUAUUGGACAAUGGGCGCAAGCCUGAUCCAGCCAUGCCGCGUGAGUGGUGAAGGCCCUAGGGUUGUAAAGCUCUUUCGCCAGGGACGAUAAUGACGGUACCUGGAUAAGAAGCCCCGGCUAACUUC
rnacentral:rRNA from 1 species